GAGUUUGAUCUUGGCUCAGAUUGAACGCUGGCGGCAGGCCUAACACAUGCAAGUCGAACGGUAACAGGAAACAGCUUGCUGUUUCGCUGACGAGUGGCGGACGGGUGAGUAAUGUCUGGGAAACUGCCUGAUGGAGGGGAUAACUACUGGAAACGGUAGCUAAUACCGCAUAACGUCGCAAGACCAAAGAGGGGGACCUUCGGGCCUCUUGCCAUCGGAUGUGCCCAGAUGGGAUUAGCUAGUAGGUGGGGUAACGGCGUCACCUAGGCGACGAUCCCUAGCUGGUCUGAGAGGAUGACCAGCCACACUGGAACUGAGACACGGUCCAGACUCCUACGGGAGGCAGCAGUGGGGAAUAUUGCACAAUGGGCGCAAGCCUGAUGCAGCCAUGCCCGCGUGUAUGAAGAAGGCCCUU
rnacentral:rRNA from 1 species